CUUUCUUCGAAAAAUCUAAAAAUACCAUUUUUGUCAAUUUUAAACGAUCUAAGAAAUAAGAAUUAAUGGAAAUUCUAAGAAAAAUAUAGGAAUAGAGAUAUUUUGGUAAUCCUUCGUAGAAAUGUUAUACGAGUUAUCUAUAAUAUUCAAACCAAUAUUUCACAAUUCAGUACUAUUCUUCCACAAAGUUGCCAUCAAUGGUUGACGGAAACUGAGAUAAUACUGAAUAUAUUCUACAUUUCUGAAAAUAGAUUAUCUGCGUAUACAACAGUAUUUCUCAACAAGGAGUUCUUCCUAAUUUUACACGUCUGACACAUUCAAUAAGAUGUAUAGUUACUACCGGCGUAUGAGUUUAUGUUGGCGCAGGCUAUUCAGAAGUUAAGGUCCUCGGCGAGAUCGGAUACUUGAUGCGCCGACAGGUAUGUUUGUGAAUCCGUGAAAGCAACGGACCGUUAGCCAAGAAAGGAUUUAAGACUUUCAUUGAUCCAAUGACUACUGCACAAUGACUCGCUGUUGCUUCAACAGCUGGUUCUAAGAAGAAGUGCAGGGAGCAUUUAUACAAGUAUUAAUUAAGAAAACAGUACUUUUUAGUAACAUUUAUAUUUAAUAGCUAUAAUGAAAUUAAAGGAAAUUAUUGCAUAAAUAAAUAAAAUUGUAAGAAAUUAUGUCCAAUAAAAUUAUUAAGAA
rnacentral:lncRNA from 1 species